UACACAAGACAUAGAUUAUGAGAAACAACAGAUAAUAUUUGAUGAAAAAAUUUAUGAGAAAAGAAGGAAAGAAGAAUUAGACCUUACACCAGACUUAGUUUUUAAAAAUCAAUUUUGGAAUAAACCUUAAAAAUUAAAAAACAAAAUUAUUAUAUAAUCACUAUAAAAGAAUUUGUAUUAGACAUAAAACAUUUAAUGGAAAAACAAUGAUACCUUUAGUAUCUAAACAUCCAAUUGAAGAAGAAACUAAAAGUAUUAAAAAUAAACAUGAUCUAAGAUAUUGCUAUUUUGGAGGAAUACAGAUUAUGUUAUAUGCACAUUUUAAAGAAGGUAUAGAUACACCAAUAGAAAUAUAUUUAGCAGAUGAUAGAAUAACUCAUCCUAUUGAACAAUCCAUAUUAACGCAAUUAACAGGAAAUCUAAUAUACCAAAAAGCUAAAUUCUUAUUAAAACCUGAUUUUAAUAUAAGUAUGACAGAAUAAAAUAUAGACAAAGCAUUGCCGAUUUAUUGGAAAAUUAAUGGAAUAGAAAUGUUACCAGGAAGUGAAGUACUAACUAUCAAAGCAAAAAAAUUAUACGUAUUAAGCAAUAGACCACGAAUAAAUAAAAAUAAAAGAAAAGGAUUAACAUAUAUAAGUAAAAUCUUUGAACCUAUCCUAANNNNAUAUAAGUAAAAUCUUUGAACCUAUCCUAAAAGAAAUACCUAGGAAAGAACAAUUAUAUAUACUACCUAACCAAAACCAAGACUUAAAAUUAGUAACUUAUAAUUUAGAACAAAGAAGAAAUAUUCUUAAUAGAAGUAUAAGUAGAAGGAAUCUAAACAUAAUACCUAGAAUUAGGAAUAAUAUAUCAGACGAAUAUUCAGAAAACUAAUAUUAUAUAAAAGGAAGAAUAAUAAGAAAUGGAAUAAGAAUACUAGUACAUCUCUUAAUUGCUACUAAUGCAGGAGAAAAUUAUAUAGCUGAACAACUAAUAAGUGAGAUAGAUAAGAUAGAAGAAAGUAAUCACACAAACACUAAUUUUAUUACACAACAAGAAGUAACAAGUAUGGGAAAAAUAAAUAGUCCAAUAAAAAUACAAGGAUUAUUAUUCAACAGGAAUUAAAUGGUUAAAUAUGGUAGAACCAUGGAAUCUAACAGAAUCAGAAUUAAAAAUAACAGUUAAUACAAUAACAAUUAAUAUAAA
rnacentral:lncRNA from 1 species